rnacentral:rRNA from 1 species
GAACGAACCUACGACCCAAAGAGGGGGAUAACAUUUGGAAACAGAUGCUAAUACCGCAUAAGACCACAACGUCACAUGGCGAAGGGGUCAAAGGAGCAAUCCGCUUUGGGAGGGGUUCGCGUCCCAUUAGGUAGUAGGCGGGGUAACAGCCCACCUAGCCAACGAUGGUAGCCGAGCUGAGAGGCUGAUCGGCCACACUGGAACUGAGACACGGUCCAGACUCCUACGGGAGGCAGCAGUGGGGAAUAUUGGGCAAUGGGCGCAAGCCUGAACCCCCAGCAACGCCGCGUGAGGGAAGAAGGUUUUCGGAUUGUAAACCUCUGUCGCAGAAGACGAAGGAAGUGACGGUAUUCUGUGAGGAAGCCCCGGCUAACUACGUGCCAGCCGCUGC